rnacentral:rRNA from 1 species
UGGGGAAUCUUGGACAAUGGGCGCAAGCCUGAUCCAGCCAUGCCGCGUGGAUGGUGAAGGCCUUAGGGUUGUAAAAUCCUUUCGUCAGGGACGAUAAUGACGGUACCUGAAGAAGAAGCCCCGGCUAACUUCGUGCCAGCAGCCGCGGUAAUACGAAGGGGGCUAGCGUUGUUCGGAUUUACUGGGCGUAAAGCGCGUGUAGGCGGACUUGUAAGUUGGGGGUGAAAUCCCGAGGCUCAACCUCGGAACUGCCUCCAAAACUACAAGUCUGGAGCAAGAUAGAGGCAAGUGGAAUUGCGAGUGUAGAGGUGAAAUUCGUAGAUAUUCGCAGGAACACCAGUGGCGGAGGCGACUUGCUGGAUCUUUGCUGACGCUGAGACGCGAAAGCGUGGGGAGCAAACAGGAUUAGAUACCCUGGUAGUCCACGCUGUAAACGAUGAGAGCUAGUUGUCGGCACGCAUGCGUGUCGGUGACGCAGCUAACG